ACGGUCAUCGUUUGGCGCCUUUUCUUCUCCGCGCCCUCAAUCUCUCACAAUCACUCUUUCCAUGGUUUCUCAGACGCCCUAAAUUCUCUGUCCUUCCCCGUUAGGCAUAUCCCAGCACGCUCUCAGCCAUGGCUGAACGUUCCUCCAAACGCCGCAAGCUCGUCGAAAGAGGUGAAGACGGAUACUUGCCUGGAAACAUAAUCGAGAUAGAGCUCGGCAAUUUCAUGACCUACCACUACCUGAAAAGCAAGCCGGGCCCGCGCCUCAACCUCGUCAUCGGACCCAACGGAUCCGGGAAGAGUUCUCUUGUCUGCGCCAUAGCCCUUGGCCUCGCCGGAGAGCCGCAGCUGCUUGGAAGGGCUUCGAGUGUUGGGGCGUAUGUGAAGCGGGGAGAGGUGUCUGGGUAUAUAAAAAUUUCAUUGAGGGGUGAUACCGCUGAGGAAAAGAUCUGUAUCACGCGGAAGAUUGACAAGAAUAACAAGUCUGAGUGGCUGGUUAAUGGCAAAGCAGUGUCAAAACGAGAUGUAGUGGAAGUUAUCAAAAGGUUCAAUAUCCAAGUCAACAACUUGACUCAGUUCUUGCCACAAGACCGGGUCUGUGAGUUUGCUAAGCUAACUCCUAUACAACUUCUAGAAGAGACUGAAAAGGCUGUUGGUGAUCCUGAACUCCCAGUUCAACAUAGUGCUCUUGUUGAUAAAAGUUCUGAAUUGAAGAAGCUUGAAGUGACUGUCAAACAAAAUCGAGAUACUUUGAAUCAGCUGAAGGCUCUUAAUGAAGAGCAAGAGAAUGAUGUGGAGCGUGUUCGUCAAAGGGACAAGCUUCUGGAAAAGGUUGACUCAAUGAAAAAGAAAUUACCUUGGCUUAAGUAUGAUAUGAAGAAGGUGGAAUACAUGCAAGCAAAAGAUAAGGAGAAGAAUGCGAAGAAAAAUCUGGAUGAAGCUGCUAAAAAUUUGAAUGAUCUCACAGUCCCCAUAGAGUUAAAGAAGCAAGAGAAAGCAAAUCAAGAACAGGCUUGUAAAAAAUUAAGCAAUCUCAUAGCUCAGAAUUCCAAGAAGCGCAUGGAGAUUCUAGAGAAUGAUAGCCGCCUGGCAGUGCAAGUAAAUGCAAAAUAUGUAGAAAUGGAAGAGCUGAGGAGGCAGGAAGAAUCUCGUCAAGAGAGGAUAUCAAGAGCUAAAGAAGAUCUUGCUGCUGCUGAAUUUGAACUCGCAAACUUGCCUGUUUUUGAACCUCCAAGGGAUGAAAUUGAAAGACUUGGUACUCAAAUACUGGAGCUAGAAGUCUCUGCAAAUCAAAAGAGGUUGCAGAAGACGGAUAAGGAAAAUCUUUUAGCUCAGAAGAAAGGAUACUUGAGGCAAUGUCUUGAUAGGUUGAAGGAGAUGGAAAAUAAAAACACCAAACUUCUACAGGCACUACGAAGUUCGGGUGCGGAAAAAAUUGUAGAAGUCUAUGAGUGGAUACAAAGACAUCGUAACGAGCUGCGUAAGGAGGUGUACGGUCCUGUCCUCCUAGAGGUUAAUGUUCCAAAUCGAGUUCAUGCCUCCUUCUUGGAGCAUCAUGUCCCUUAUUAUAUCUGGAAGUCCUUCGUAACUCAGGAUUCUGCUGAUCGGGACUUCUUGGUCAGAAACUUGAAGUCAUUUGACAUUCCGGUUCUAAACUACGUUGGAGAUGGUAGCUCUAAUAAAGUGCCAUUUCAAGUUUCUGAGGAGAUGCUUAGGCUUGGUAUCUACUCGAGACUUGAUCAAGUUUUUGAUGCUCCUGCUGCUGUAAAGGAAGUGCUGAUUAGCCAAGCUACACUAGAACAUUCUUACAUCGGGUCGAGUGAAACUGAUCAGAAGGCUGAUGAGGUCCCACAAUUAGGAAUUUUAGAUCUUUGGACUCCCGAUAAUCACUACCGAUGGUCUAGAUCUAGAUAUGGUGGCCAUCUCUCAGCAAGUGUUGAAACAGUGGUUCCUUCACGUCUUUUUUUAUCUAGUUUGGAUGUUGGGGAGGUUGAAAGGCUCAGGUCUACAAAGAAGGAACUUGAAGAGACCAUUUUUGGUCUUGAGGAAAGUUUCAAAACGCUUCAGUCAGAACAAAGACAUUUAGAGGAUGAAGCAGCGAAGCUUCACCGACGGCGGGAGGAAAUUAUGAACAGCAUACAGCUUGAGAAGAGAAAGCGUCGUGAUAUGGAAGGCCGUGUUUUUCAAAGAAAAAGGAAACUUGAGUCUAUGGAGAAAGAGGAUGAUCUGGAGACAAAUACACAAAGGCUAAUUGAUCACGCUGCAAAGUUGAACAGUCAACGAUUCCAAAUUGCCAUUGAAAUUAAGAAUUUGCUUAUUGAGGCAGUUUCCUUCAAAUGGAGAUUCGCUGAAAAACACAUGAGAGCCAUCGAGCUCGACACAAAGAUUAGGGAAUUGGAAGUUAGUUUGAAGCCACACGAAAAGGCUGCCCUACAAGCAUCCAUACACUAUGAGAAUUGUAAGAAUGAUACCGAGAACCGCAAACGGGAACUCUCUACUGCUAAGAGUGAUGCAGAGUCGAUUGCCGUGAUCACUUCCGAACUUGCACAGGCAUUUCUUGAGAUGCCUUCAACUAUCGAGGAUUUGGAAGCUGCCAUUGCAGAUGCUACUUCUGAAGCAAAUUCUACUCUUUUGCUCAAUCAUAACAUUCUGGAGGAGUAUGAAAGACGUCAGCGCAAGAUAGAAAGUAUUGCUAUGAAACUAGAAGCAGAUGACAAGGAACUGAAAAGGUGUUUAUCUGAAAUAGACAGUCUCAAGGAAAAAUGGCUCCCAACAUUGAGGGAUCUUGUCUUCAAGAUAAAUGAAACCUUCAGCCGUAACUUCCGCGAGAUGGCUGUCGCAGGAGAAGUUUCACUAGAUGAACAAGACAUGGAUUUUGAUAGAUUUGGGAUACUUAUCAGAGUGAAGUUUAGGGAAUCUGGACUACUUCAGGUGCUAAGUGCUCAUCAUCAAUCUGGCGGGGAACGUUCAGUUUCCACGAUUCUCUAUCUGGUUUCAUUACAAGACCUUACAAACUGCCCAUUUCGUGUGGUUGAUGAGAUAAAUCAAGGAAUGGACCCUAUAAAUGAAAGGAAGAUGUUCCAGCAGCUUGUCAGGGCAGCAAGUCAGCCCAAUACGCCACAGUCUAUGGUGGGAGACUUACGGAGACAAGUGUCCAUAAUUGCAAAAGUUGGCUAUUCGUAUUUUAAGUUUGACAUGUAGGGCUAUUGGUUGUGAGCACAACUGGAGAACUUUUGAGCAGAUACAUUCAAAGAAGAGGAAUAGACUUGAGCAACAAAGAUUGAAUGCGCUCAUCUUUGUAAAAGAGAGAAUAAUCAAAGACUUGAUCCUAUAUGUUUCUCAGAUAGGGAAUUUGAUGAUGAAUUGAUCACGGAGAAAAGAGGAUCCCGCACUUCCUACAGAUUACACCUGGUUGGACAUAAUUGAAUGCUUUGCUAAAGGCUUGGAGGAUGUGCAAGGUGUAGGCGGAUCCACAUCAAAACCGGAUGGGCGAUGUGUAUUUUGUAGGUCCUAGAAAACUUGCUAUUCGAAGCAAGGUGAAGGGAAAAGCGAAAGUGGUAGUAGAAGUAGAUGAGGAUUACGAGUUUAUUUCGACAUCAAAUUCUGAAGAUGAAGAUGAUGUUGAUAAUGUUUUGACCCUUGGUGAUGAGGAGGAUGAUGAUGGCGCUGCCAAGGAAGAAUAGAUUUGUUUGGACUUUUUAUUUACUUUUUUAAUUAUAGAAAGAAGUGAAUAGAUCAUUAUACAUGUAAAUGGGGAUAGGGAAAAUGUUUUUUUUUUUGAAUUAUAUAGAAAACUUACAUGUACAUGUGAUGGGAAAAUGGAUUAUUGUUUAAACUUGAUUAUAACAUGAUGAUAUAUGCAUGAUACAUCUUUAUGUUUUU